AUUGAACGCUGGCGGCAGGCCUAACACAUGCAAGUCGAACGAGUGGCGGACGGGUGAGUAAUGCUUGGGAAUCUGGCUGAUGGAGGGGGAUAACUACUGGAAACUGUAGCUAAUACCGCAUACCAUAGGAUGAGCCCAAUUGGGAUUAGGUAGUUGGUGGGGUAAAGGCUCACCUAGCCGACGAUCCCUAGCUGGUCUGAGAGGAUGACCAGCCACACUGGGACUGAGACACGGCCCAGACGCCUACGGGAGGCAGCAGUGGGGAAUAUUGCGCAAUGGGGGCAAGCCUGAAGCAGCCAUGCCGCGUGAAUGAAGAAGGCCUUCGGGUUGUAAAGUUCUUUCGGUAGCGAGGCGUUAACUACAGAAGAAGCACCGGCUAACUCCGUGCCAGCAGCCGCGGUAAUUC
rnacentral:rRNA from 1 species